UACGUAGGCAGCGAGCGUUGUCCGGAUUUACUGGGCGUAAAGGGCGCGUAGGCGGCGUGACAAGUCACUUGUGAAAUCUCCGGGCUUAACUCGGAACGGUCAAGUGAUACUGUCGGACUAGAGUACAGAAGGGGCAACUGGAAUUCUCGGUGUAGCGGUGAAAUGCGUAGAUAUCGAGAGGAACACCUGCGGCGAAAGCGGGUUGCUGGGCUGAUACUGACGCUGAGGCGCGAAAGCCCAGGGGAGCGAACGGG
rnacentral:rRNA from 1 species